UUAGGAAUAUUGGACAAUGGGGGCAACCCUGAUCCAGCCAUGCCGCGUGUGUGAAGAAGGCCUUAGGGUUGUAAAGCACUUUCGGCUGUGAAGAUAAUGACAGUAGCAGAAGAAGAAGCUCCGGCUAAAUUCGUGCCAGCAGCCGCGGUAAUACGAAUGGAGCGAGCGUUGUUCGGAAUCACUGGGCGUAAAGCGUGCGCAGGCGGUCUUGAAAGUCAGGAGUGAAAUCCCAGGGCUUAACCCUGGAAUUGCUCUUGAAACUCCAAGACUGGAGUACUGGAGAGGUUGGCGGAAUUCCGAGUGUAGCAGUGAAAUGCGUAGAUAUUCGGAGGAACACCGAUGGCGUAGGCAGCCAACUGGACAGUUACUGACGCUCAUGCACGAAAGCGUGGGGAUCAAA
rnacentral:rRNA from 1 species